rnacentral:rRNA from 1 species
CCUACGGGAGUCAGCAGUGAGGAAUAUUGGUCAAUGGCCGGAAGGCUGAACCAGCCAAGCCGCGUGAAGGACGAAGGUGCCAAGCAUUGUAAACUUCUUUUGUCAAGGGACAAAAUCAGGCUCGAGAGCCUGACCGCAGUUACUUGAAGCAAAAGCAUCGACUAACUCCGUGCCAGCAGCCGCGGUAAUACGGAGGAUGCGAGCGUUAUCCGUAUUUAUUUGGUUUAAAGGGUGCGUAGGCGGGCUGUUAAGUCAGCGGUAAAAGCCCGGGGUUCAACCCCGGCGAGCCGUUGACACUGGCUGUCCUGAGAUGUCGAGAGGGAGGUGGAAUGCGCAGUGUAGCGGGGAAAUGCUUAGAUAUUGGGCAGAACGCCGAUUGCGAAGGCAGCAUACCGGCGGCGAUCUGACGCUGAGGCACGAAAGCGUGGGUAUCGAACAGGAUUAGAUACCCUUGUAGUC